rnacentral:misc_RNA from 1 species
AAUUGUUAUUUUCUUAUGCACAAGUGUAUGAUUUAGUCGUAGAUAAGCUGCUUACUGUCACAUGAUAUAUUUUUUUUUAAUCAAAGUUACUGAUGUGAUGUUCUGUGGAUUGUUUAGAGCAUAGGAAAUAACAAAUUUAUAAAUAUUAUUAUCUUGAACCUAUAUUGUGGGUUAUAUAUCUCUAUGGCUUUUGAUUUUGUUUAGUAUGCAAUAUUUGAGGCUAUUUGUCCUGUGAUUACAGGGUUCUAGUAGAAGUAGUAGGGCACCAUUUGAUCAUGUCGACUCAAAUCGUUGGCUUCAA